rnacentral:lncRNA from 1 species
AUUGUUCCUUUUGCAAAAAGUUGAACUUAUUAUUAUGUGAGGCAUAUAUAUCCUUUAGUCCAUUAAAUUACCUUUGGUUAGUUACUUCUUAAAAGAAAAAGAGAUUUCUCAAUGCAUCCAUAUAUUAUUUAGACACCACAUAAUAUAUCUUCAGACGCAGUUACUUCUUAAAAGAAAAAGAGAUUUCUCAAUGCAUCAAUAUAUUAUUAGACACAACAUAAUAUAUCUUGUAUUUCAUACAAUGUACUUAUUUAUUUUUGAGCAAUAUCUCAUUUUAAUCACGUAAAUUAUUUCAAAAAUAUAUUUUUAGAAUAUCUCUAAAAAAAAUAUAUUUUCAAAACUCACGUAAACUUGUUUUUUAGUUAAUGCUGUUACAAUUAUGACAUUUCAUAAAGCCAUUGAUUUGAUUGAUUUAUUUCAUCUUGUACAAAAUCACCAAUUCCAUUUUCAUAUUCUAUUCCGAUAGUAAAAUAAUAUGGAUUGGCUCCACUAUGUAAAGAAUAUUGAAUUUUCAAAAGAGCAUGCAAUCUUACAAGUUAAAAACGAAGAUUUGGAGAAGAUUUUUUGUCUUCAAUCCUCAAUGAGUAGAAUAGAAGUGUAAACAUCAUGUUGCUUGUUUGGGUGAAAGUGAAACAAGCCAAAGAAUGCCUUGCACGGCUAUACCAUGAUAUAUUGGCGGUUUCAGAAAUAUCAAAAUAGAAAAAAUGUGGGCUAGAAAGGACUUGUAGAAGAGACACAUAGUUGGUGUGACAUAUACUGUACAUCAUGAAAGGUUAUUCUCAUCAAUCCAUAUGAAAUGACAUGCAAUUCACAAUUAUUGUCUAUUCUUAUGGAAUACUAACAUUUAUUUUGGUUUCCUCAAGUUAUGAAGCAGUGUAAGUAAUUAUAGAAGUAAGUAUCUCUUCAAUAGCUCGAUUU